rnacentral:rRNA from 1 species
AGUGAACGCUGGCGGUAGGCCUAACACAUGCAAGUCGAACGGCAGCACAGUAAGAGCUUGCUCUUACGGGUGGCGAGUGGCGGACGGGUGAGGAAUACAUCGGAAUCUACUUUUUCGUGGGGGAUAACGUAGGGAAACUUACGCUAAUACCGCAUACGACCUACGGGUGAAAGCAGGGGAUCUUCGGACCUUGCGCGAUUGAAUGAGCCGAUGUCGGAUUAGCUAGUUGGCGGGGUAAAGGCCCACCAAGGCGACGAUCCGUAGCUGGUCUGAGAGGAUGAUCAGCCACACUGGAACUGAGACAAGGUCCAGACUCCUGCGGGAGGCAGCAGUGGGGAAUAUUGGACAAUGGGCGGAAACCUGAUCCAGCCAUACCGCGUGGGUGAAGGAGGCCCUCGGGUUGUAAAGCCCUUUUGUUGGGAAAGAAAAGCAGCAGGUUAAUACCCCGCUGUUCUGACGGUACCCAAAGAAUAAGCACCGGCUAACUUCGUG